rnacentral:rRNA from 1 species
CAAUAGCGUAUAUUAAAGUUGUUGCAGUUAAAAAGCUCGUAGUUGGAUUUCUGGGAGGAUGCCAAUGUCCGCCCUCGUGCGUGUGCAGCGGCGUCUUUCCAUCCUUCUGUUAACAUCUCUUGGCAUUCAUUUGCUGGUGAUGGGCUCAGAUAUUUUACCUUGAGAAAAUUAGAGUGUUUCAGGCAGGCUAGGCCGGAAUACAUUAGCAUGGAAUAAUGGAAUAGGACUACGGUCUCUUUGUUGGUUUGAGGGACUGCAGUAAUGAUUAAUAGGGAUAGUUGGGGGCAUUAGUAUUUAAUAGUCAGAGGUGGAAUUCUCGGAUUUGUUAAAGACUAACUUAUGCGAAAGCAUUUGCCAAGGAUGUUUUCAUUA